rnacentral:tRNA from 1 species
AGCUCAGUGGUAGAGUACAUGCUUAGCAUGCAUGAGGUCCUGGGUUUGAUCCCCAG